rfam:Homo sapiens chromosome 9, GRCh38 reference primary assembly.
GCCAGGCAUGGUGGCACAUGCCUGUAAUCCCAGCUACUCAGGAGGGAGGCUGAGACAGAAGAAUCGCUUGAACCCAGGAGGCAGAGGUGCAGUGAGCUGAGAUCGCGCCACUGCACUCCAGCCUGGGUGACAGAGCAAGACUCUGUCUCAA